CUAUCAAACUUCGAAUACCAUACAAUGCAGACCAUGGGAGUCAGUCCGCGAGAGAUAAGUUCCGCGGGCAAAAGGGGAACACCCCAGAUCAACCGCUAAGGUCCCCAAGUUCACGUUAAGUGGAGAAGGAUGUGGAAUUGCACAGACAACCAGGAUGUUGGCUCAGAAGCAGCCACACAUUUAAAGAGUGCGUAAUAGCUCACUGGUCGAGUGAUUGUGCGCCGAAGAUGUCCGGGGCUAAACGUGACACCGAAGCGAUGGGUGCAUCUGAAAGGAUGCGCGGUAGAGGAGCAAUGUGCAGAGGCAGAAGCCGUAUCGAGAGGCACGGUGGACACUGCACAAGAGAGAAUGCCGGUAUGAGUAGCGAGAGGCAUGCGAGAAACAUGCCCGUCGAAAGCCCAAGGUUUCCUGGGGAAGGUUCAUCCGCCCAGGGUAAGUCGGGGCCUAAGCCGAGGACGGAAGUCGUAGGCGAUGGACAGCAGGUGUAGAUUCCUGCACUACCGAUGGAAUGAAGCAGUGACACAGAAGGAUAACUCGAGCAGGGUGAUGGUCAACCCUGUGCAAGCAUCAAGGUUGGGUUGUAGUGAAGUACGCAAUCCUAUAAGCUGAGGUGUGAUGCGGACCGAAAUUUCAGUAGGGAAGCGAGUGAGUUCACGCUGGCGAGAAAAGCUGCUAGUAUAUCCAAAGGUACCCGUACCGGAAACCGACGCAGGUGGGCGAGGAGAGAAUCCUGAGACGAACGGGAGAACCCUUGUUAAGGAACUCGGCAAAAUGACCCCGUAACUUCGGGAUAAGGGGUGCCUGCGAGAGCAGGCCGCAGAGAAUAGUCACAAGCGACUGUUUAGCAAAAACACAGGUAUCUGCGAAAGCGAGAGCUGACGUAUAGGUGCUGACACCUGCCCGGUGCUGGAAGGUUAAGGGAACAUGUUAGAGCAAUCGAAGCAUCGAACCGAAGCCCCAGUAAACGGCGGCCGUAACUAUAACGGUCCUAAGGUAGCGAAAUUCCUUGUCGGGUAAGUUCCGACCCGCACGAAUGGUGUAACGACUUGUGAGCUGUCUCAACAGGGGGCCCGGUGAAAUUGAAGUAUGGGUGAAGAUGCCCAUUACCCGCGACUGGACGGAGAGACCCCGUAGAGCUUUACUGCAGCCUGAUAUUGAGUUUCGGUAACUGAUGCACAGGAUAGGUGGGAGUCUGAGAGACACGGGUUUCGGCUCGUGAGGAGACGCUGUUGGGAUACCACUCUUCGGUUACUGAAAUUCUAACAUAGCUCUGUGAAACCAGAGGAUGGACAGUGUCAGGUGGACAGUUUGACUGGGGCGGUCGCCUCCGAAAGAGUAACGGAGGCGCCCAAAGGUACCCUCAGAAUGGAUGGAAACCAUUCGAAGAGCGCAAAGGCAGAAGGGUGCCUGACUGCGAGAUUGACAAAUCGAGCAGAGACGAAAGUCGGGCUUAGUGAUCCGGCGGUAUUGAGUGGAAAAGCCGUCGCUUAACGGAUAAAAGCUACCUCGGGGAUAACAGGCUGAUCUCCCCCAAGAGUCCACAUCGACGGGGAGGUUUGGCACCUCGAUGUCGGCUCGUCGCAUCCUGGGGCUGAAGCAGGUCCCAAGGGUUUGGCUGUUCGCCAAUUAAAGCGGCACGCGAGCUGGGUUCAGAACGUCGUGAGACAGUUCGGUCC
rnacentral:rRNA from 1 species